UCGUAUUUGCUAUAUAGAAACGCCAAUAAAGUACUGUUAUUGAUCUGCAAUAGGAAUCGUUCAUUAAUUACGUCACGCUUAUACAGAGUGGCGAUACUUCUCGAUUGAUUGAUGAACAAUACAUGAAGAAUGGAUAUACCCUUCGCUUAAACUAUUCUUCGUAUUUAGUAGAAAUGUUCGGGCUUCACAUGUUAC